CUGACAUCAUGCUGGGGAUCCUCUGCACUCUCAUCACUGCUCUAACAUAUGUUGAUGCAGUGAUAGUUCUGACCCAGACGCCUGCUGUCCACACCGUUUCUACAGGACAAGAAGUUGUUCUCAAAUGCAACAUUCAGACAGAUUAUGGAAAUUAUGUCAGAUGGUUUAAACAGGCUCCUGGUAAACCUCCUCAGUAUGUUCUGAGAUUUCUCCAUUCUAACAGUUCACCCAACUUUGGAACAGGAUUCUCCUCAGACCGAUUCAACUCUAAAUCCUCAUCAAACAUAGAUUACCAGUUCAUCAUUAAGAGAGCAGAGACAGGAGAUUCUGCAGUUUAUUUCUGUUAUACAUGGGACGACUCAGCUAUCGAGGGUGUAUCACAGUGAUUUACUCUGUGACAAAAACCUCUUCACUAAGUACUUCUGCUUUUCCAAUACCUCACACAUCAAUUAAUGCUCUCUGUAGCUUCAUGAGACUUUAAAGAUGAAUACAAACCAGUGUCAUCAAUCUAUUCUUGAAAACACUCAUUUCAUAUAAGAUACGUAACAUUAAUAUUAACUACAAGUAGAGAAUUAUGG